AGGCCACUGGGCAUGCGGAAAGCCCACCCCAAGGGAACAAUCAGGGAAGAAGGAACGCAAGACGGUGGAAGCAUGCCAACCUAUUAAACCGCAAGUCAGAGAUCAAACCAUAUCCUCAUUUGAAAAUGGAAAAAGAAAAGAAAUGGAGGCAUUGUGUGAUAUUUGCCUAAAUAUAACUAAAGAGAUCCAUUUAUUUUUAGUGUUUGAUUAAAAACCCUCAAAGGAAAAGAGAAAUUUUGAUCUUUGAGAAGAGCUGUUUCAUCACAGGGUGAAGUUGUUUCCUGAGCCCUUUGAUCUGAAAUGACCUUGCGACCUGGAACCAGCAGACAGCCUGAGGGAGGCAGUGCAUGUUCUGAGCCAGGGCCUCAGGAGGCCUGCAGCUGCCAUUCUGCUUCUGUUGGAACAUGACCUCCUUGAGAACACUCCCAGGCCUGACUGCAGGGUGGGGAGACCACACAGAGCAGAGCCGAGCCACCGGGAUGAGGCCCCUAGAUCACCCAGCUCCCAGCUGACCACAGAUCAUGAGUGAUCCCGUUUCUCCCUAGGUCAAGGGUGAUGUUUUGCUCAGAGAAAACUGAAGUUUGGAUUGUUCCAGUCCUGCAUCACAUCCUGUUUCAGGCUGCCCUAAAACAAAACCAGAAACAACCAUCACCACAAAACACCAUACCUUCAAUAGUCUUCUCAGUGUUCAGAAUAAAGGCUCUGGUUUUCCCUUGGGCUCAAUUUUCAUGAUUGUGUCUCCUUUGUCAAUAUGUUUUUCAUCUUCCUCACUUUCAAACUGCACUU
rnacentral:lncRNA from 10 species